ACAGCACGCCCUCGCUAAAGACGCACUCGCAGCCGCACACAAACGUGUUGAAGCACGCAUACCGCAUCACCCUUUCUCGCAACCAUUUACCCGUACACACACACACACACACACACACACACAAGCGUGCAUGCUUACAUCAUUCGUUCUUUACGUUAGACCCCCCUUCCCUCCAUAACUCUCUUCACGACUUCACUGCAUCUCUUAUGUUCUCUUUGGUGCCUUCUUAGACCGCACACAUUCCAUCUGUCUGCCUCCACCUCUGCCUGUUUCCUUUUUAGACGCACACGCGUGCCACGCUCUCUUCGCUUCUCAUUCCUCCCCUCCCCCUCUUGCUCUGUUUCUUUUCGUUUUCACGGUCGUGCUGCUACGUGGGUCUUUGAGUGUGUGUGCGUGUGUGCGUGCGUGUGCGUGGCUACGCGCGAGGGCAUCGAAUUAGAGAGUCCCACAAGGUAGCCAGCGCACAAACAGACAGAUACACAGACACACGAGUAGUACAGCCGGCGUCAGGUAAGCCUCCGCCCCUCCCCGCCUCUUUCUCUCAAUCAUCCUCGUCAUCUUUUUACGUAAUUCCUUCUACGGCAUUCUCGGCAGACAGGCGAGAAUCUACACACGCACCCACAAAGAGAGAGAGAGCGAAGCAACGCUCAACACUGCCAUUGCGGUUUCGCACCACCAGCAUCCCCGCCCUCCCGCCGCUCUCGCUCUCUUUUUCUAUCUUCACCCUCUUCAUUCUCUUUUACUUGUGUCUUCCAUAGACUAGAUACCCAACCCCUCCUUCCUCACGAGCACCACCACAUCUCUCUGUCUCUCCCUCUCUCGACCUUCGCUCUCAUUGUGCGCGCUUGUUUUCCUGUCCUUCGCCUUUUGUCUUGUCGUCUUUACUCUUCGCUCCUCACUAGACUCUUCUCUCGUUGCCUCAUCACCGUUUCCACCCCACCCCCACCGCCACACACCCUCGACACACAUACGCCAGCAGCUCUUCACACCCUCGCCGCCACCCUCCUCCGCUUUCUUUGCGCCAUUGUUGCUGUGACAGCUGCUUGCGGCUCACGGAUCUCCCUCGUCUCCCUUCCUCGCCGGUCGCGGGCAUGUCGUCUUCUGCUGGACUUCGCGACCUGGGCCGCAACCAGACAACGGCGCAGCGCGCCAUGGUGGCUCGAAAGGGCGCAGCACCGCCGCUGCACCGCAACGCUGGCCGGUCUGCUGCCGCUGCGACGUUUGUGCGGCCGCCGCGCGCCUCGCCGGCUGCUGUGCCCGCGCCCGCGAGCUGCGGCACUGCGGGGCCGCUGGAACAGGCCUCUCCUGCUGCUGCUGCCGUGCCGUGCGCGCGUGGUGCUGGACUGCCGACGGUGAGCGCGGUGCCGGUGCUGUCGCUGGACUGCGAGGCGGAGCGCGGCUGCGCUGGCGUGGCGCCUGCGACGGUGGCCGCCACGGUGGCGCCCGCAGUGCACGUGGCGGCGCCGGUGUGCGGGACGCGCAGGCUUUCGGCGAUGCCUGCUGCCGCGCUGGUGGAGGCGUUCAGGGCGACGUGCGAGGGGCACGUGGCGGACGUUGCGUGCACGCCGCAGGGCAAGGCGCUGCUGCAGGCGGCGCUGCGGACGCAGCGGCCGGAGGUGCUGGACUCUGUGGUGACGGAGCUGUGCCCACGGCUGCGCGACGUGGCGGUGGACGUGCACGGGUGCCACGUGCUGCGGACGCUGGUGGAGGCGUGCACUGCGGAGCAGACGGAGGCGCUGAUUGGCGCGAUGCACGCGUCGGUUGUGCUGAACAUGUGCACUGCGUCGCAGUACACGCGGCGCACGCUGCAGUCGCUGUUCGAGCGGCGCGAGGUGGACCUGUCUGCGCUUGUGCACGUGCUCGCGGACAACGCGGGGUACCUUGCGGCGACGCAGCAGGGGUGCAUCUCGCUGAUGCGCGUGUUCGAGCUGUGCGACGCGGCGCAGAAGGCGGAGCUGGUGCGCGAGCUGCUGCCGAAGUUGGCUGCGCUGUCGAUGGAUGCGUUUGCGAACUACAUGGUGCAGUGCGCGAUCGAGCACAGCGAUCGCACGACGGCCGCGCAGUACGUUGUGGCCCACUUCACCGGCAACAUAUUGCAGAUGAGCUGCAACAAGCACUCCAGCAACGUGCUGGAGGUUGUCCUGCGGUGCUGUGGCGAGGUCCCGGCGGUGCGGCGCCUUUUUCUGGACGAGCUGGUUUUCAACCCAGCCGCCCUGAAGGAGGUGGUGGGCGAUCUGUACGGGAACUUUGUGGUGCAGGCGCUGAUCGGCGUUGUGACGAACCCGAUGGAGUUCAAGCGCGUGGAGGACCGCCUGCGCCCCGCACUGGUGGGGUGCCAGUUCGCGGCGAAGAUCGAGGGGAAGAUCAAGGCGAAGCGUCCAGUCCCGCCCCACGCGGGCGGUGCGGUGCACCAUCAUCCCUACCCGCAGUCGCACCAGCAGCGGCCGCUUUCGGUGCCGUGCACCAUGCCUGACCAUGCUGGCCCCUGCGCGCCUAUCGUCAGAGCCACUAUACCGCUUUCACAGAUGCCGGUGAUGUCUGCCGGUGAGGCGCGCGUUCCGUCUCAAGGCUACUGUCACCGCCCCUACGACCGCAAUCCGCUAUGCUGCGUACCGCUGGCAGCUGAGCAGCAGCAACCGCAAAAGGUGGAGCAGGCGCCAUCUGAGCAUGUUUACCCUGCUGAUCACUUCCGGUUCCCAAUUCUCAAAGAGCGUACCGCUGCUCGCACCGCCGGCGCCGUCCCUGUAGCGGACGGGGCGGACAGCGGACCCGUGUACGGUCCCUCGCCGGCGGCACGCCGCCACCUUCAGCAGCAGCAGCAACAGGCGUUUUGCCCACCAUUCAACAUCAUGUGCUGAGUGUGUGCUGAGGAGACGUGCGCGAAGAGCUGCGCGCAGAGUGUGGUGACGAAGGUAGUCGGAGUGCCGGGGCAGUCGGUCGUUGCCAUCGCGGUAAGGCCUCGCUUCACCGACGAUGGUGCUGCCCCUGCUUCUCCGCCCCACCAUCCGACGCUGAUCCCGUCUCCUUGUGGGCGCGCAUGCUGUGGUGCUUGCUUCUGUGUUGCCAUGCGCGCUCCUGUGCUGGUGUGUGCGGGCGUUGCGAGAGGAGGGUAAAGCGUGAGCGGCGGCCGGGAGGGUGAGGAGGGGACGGUGACACGUGAGAUGGUCCGAGUCACCGUUGUGCCGCCGUCCGCGCCCUAGCCGCCUUCCUCUAUCUAGAGAGCGCCGACGCAUCAUGACUAGAUGGCCCUUCUCUUGCUUUUACCUGCUGAGUAGUGUGUGGCUUGCCGCCUUUUGUUGUGACGCAUGUCGUUGGUGCGCGCGUGAUGGAGUCUCACCUCGGUUGUGUGUGCGGAGACUGCACAGGGUGUCUGAAAGGACUCGAAAAAAGUAAGGGAAGGAGUAACAAGGGCGAGGACGCAGAGGAUGCAAGCUCAGGAAGAGGCACCGUGCCACCCACAGCGGGUGCACACACGGCCAGGCACACUAGUCGACCAACACACACACGCAUAACUUGUACGGCUCCCUCAUUGGACGUAAAAGGGAAGCAGGGGUCGCACGCGGGCGUCUGUGUAUCUGUCUGUCGUUGUGUACGCAGGAAGACACCCCCCCCCCCUCCGUGGCCGCCUCCCUCACCCUCGCCUCCUCCGUGACUGUCUCUUCGCAUCUUCUGUCCCUCUCACGCGCGCAUGCAUCCUUUCGCUUCUUUCUUUUUGUUCCCCCCCCCUCUCGUAUUUUGUGUGACAUGCCUCCUCGACUAUGUGUGUGGCCGGUGUGUGUCCUUGUUGGUUAGGGGAGGGAACACUCUUAGAUCCUUUCGUCUUGUUCCGUGGCCCCCCUCCUCCUCCAUUCUCUGUAGGGGGAGCUCUUCACUCUCUCUGCCUGUCCCUGUCUGCACGUGUGCGUGUGUGCGCGCGUUUCCUUUUUUGUUUUGUGCUCUAAACGGCGAAUGCGAACGAAGCAACGCAGGCGUUGGAAUCUCAAAAUAGAGAGGCAGAGCCGAGAAGACACCCACCCACACACACACACCCAAGGAAAGAGGAGACAUCAUGUCAGCAGGCGGUCAAGAAGAGACGCCGGGGGUGCGUGGAUGGGGCGCUGUGGUCCAGUCUGCACGGCGCCCGCUCGAAGUGCUCGCCGCACGGAAAUAAGUGAGGAGGGCAUUGACGAGCGGCGGGCAGAGAGGCAGGAAAGGUGGCGUAAGUGCCACACACGCACAUUUGUGUGCUCUCUCCUCCUGUCCUUGUUCGCUUCUCCAACCCGAAUGCGUGACAAGAAGGAGAACGGAGAGAAGGAGGUCGGGGUCGGAUGCGGGAGCAGGCAGCAGGCAGCAGCUCCCCCCCCCCCCCCCAUCUGUCUCCCUCCCUCCUCCCUUCUCUGCCAUGCUUCACGGCGUACCCUCUUUCGCGCUGCGCUAGCACCGGACAGGCACAAUGCGUAACAAGCGUCUGUGUGUGUGUGCGUGCCUGUGCAGGGGAGAGGGGGGCCGCUGUCUUGAGCCUUCCACUGUACUAUCUGACUCGUUGACUCUCUCUCUCUUUUUCCUCGUUCUCCACCCAAAUGAUGUUCAG
rnacentral:misc_RNA from 1 species